rfam:Rattus norvegicus chromosome 10, whole genome shotgun sequence.
GGAGAGAUGGCUCAGUGGUUAAGAGCACUGACUGCUCUUCCAGAGGUCCUGAGUUCAAAUCUCAGUAACCACA